rnacentral:lncRNA from 1 species
UUCGGUUUUUUUUUUUUUUUCCUCCAAAAAAUGCAAAACAGCCACAACAAAUCCAGGCUUCAGCAGCAGCAUACCCAAAACAAAUUAAUCAAACCGUAUGUACUCUCACAAAUUAAUCAAACCUCAACUAAUAGUCUAAUAGUGUUCAUAAAUGAAGUUACCUAACCAAAUCCAGCAUACCCAAAACAAAUUGCAAAACCAUGAAAUUUAGAAGCUACAUAUCAAAUUCAUCAGAAGUUCAGAACCAACAAAAUUGAAAAAAAAAAUCUGCAAACGAAAAUUAACCAACAACACAACACAAAAACAAAACCAAAUUAAAAUCAACCAAACGAAAAAAAUAAACACAACCAAACGAAAAAAAUAAAACACAACCAAAUUUAAAUCAACCAAAUUAAACACAACCAAACCAAAAAAAUAAAUCUUUUUUUUUAAAUUAAUAGUUAAAAUAAGGAAGAGAUUGAACCGAUUCGAACUCCCUCUGCCAUCCUCCUCUCUGCUUCCGAUUCGAAAGGGGGCGAGGGAAAAUUAUGAUUUGGAUGAAGUACUUUUUAAGAAGCUAUAUUAAAUCCCAACUCAGAUUGCAUUAUCUCAGCAAGUAAACAAACUUAAAGUGAAUCAGCAAUACUAAAAAUACGAAUAGAAGAUAAUGAGAUACCGGAACACCAAAAUAUAUAAGCUCAAAACUUAUCCAUUCAACAGACGCAACAAAACUUAAAAAGUAAAUACUCUCAACAAAACUUGAAAAAUUAUCCAUGGAUCUGCAACGAUUAAUGACUGCCCUCGUCCGCCGUCAACUGCCCAUCAGUCCCAUGUUGUGCCACUGGACUGCUCCACUGCCACUGUGGUUUGGCUCUCCUCUUUGCUACCGUCGAAAUCCACAAAGAGAGAUAGUGAUUUGGAGGAAGAGAGGAAGGGGAGAGGAAGAGAGGAAGGGGAGAGAAAGAGAGAGAGAGAGAGGCAGAGAGGAAAUAGCGGAGGGGAGAGAGUGCUUGAGAAAAGGGAAAACCGAAAUGGGAUUGGGAGAGUGACGGCUAGGGUUUUUAAUCUUAAGAAAUUUUAUAAAGCAUUAAAUAUUAGAAACCUAUAAAUAUAUUACUGGUACAAUUAUAACAACACAAAGCCUACAGUCAAGUUGGCUUGAAGGAAUUAUCCCCCCUGGACGGAAGGGGUUCGAUUCCUCACAGCAGCAGGUUUUAAGUAUUUAUAUUUAAUUUUAAGUUAAAAGGUUGUUGAUUGCUCAAAAAAAACUAAAAAACUUUUCUGAAACCCUGGAGGCAUGAGGAUUCGAACCCAUGCACAGGGGCUUGAAAAGUUUCAAGCAAACCAACUUGGUAACAGGUUAUGUCUUGUUAUGAUUGUAUCACUAAAUUAUUUAUAAUAUUGAAAACAAAAUUAAAUAUAUAUAUAUGUUCGGUUCGGUUCGGUUUCCGAACCUUAAAAACCGAAACCGAACCAGCCAGAUUCGGUUCGGUUCGGUUUGGCAGUUUCGGUUCGAUUUUUUUCGGCCUCGGUUCGGUUUGGUUUUCGGUUUUUUUCGGUUUUCAGUUAUUUGAACCCACCCCUACCUGCUACUGCCGGUCGUCGUCUUAGUCUUCAUGAAGGGGAACCUCUUUCAGAUGCCACUGAAUUUAGAAGUGUUGUUGGUGCUCUUCAGUACCUUCUCUUCAC